UCUGACCUCAAAUCAGGUAGGACUACCCGCUGAACU
rnacentral:rRNA from 1 species